CCUACGAGUGGCAGCAGUGAGGAAUAUUGGUCAAUGGGCGCGAGCCUGAACCAGCCAAGUAGCGUGAAGGAUGACUGCCCUACGGGUUGUAAACUUCUUUUAUAAAGGAAUAAAGUGAGGCACGUGUGCCUUUUUGUAUGUACUUUAUGAAUAAGGAUAGGCUAACUCCGUGCCAGCAGCCGCGGUAAUACGGAGGAUCCGAGCGUUAUCCGGAUUUAUUGGGUUUAAAGGGAGCGUAGAUGGGUUGUUAAGUCCGUUGUGAAAGUUUGCGGCUCAACCGUAAAAUUGCAAUUGAUACUGGCAGUCUUUAGGACAGUUGAGGUAGGCAGAAUUCGUGGUGUAGCUGAGAGAUGCUUAGAUAUCACGAAGAACUCCGAUUGCGAAGGCAGCUUACUAAACUGCCACUGACAUUGAUGCUCGAAAGUGUGGGUAUCAAACAGGAUUAGAUACCCGGGUAGUC
rnacentral:rRNA from 1 species